GUGCUCACCUCAGUAGAACAUAUACUAAAAUUGAAAUGAUAUAGAGUAGAUGAGCAUGACUCCUUUGCAAAGAUGAUGUGCAAAUUUGUGAAGUGUUUUAUAUUUUU